GUUCAAAAAUUUCCCAACAAUGUUGAAAAUGUGGAAAUUUUCACUGUGAAAAUGUUUGGGUUUUUUUUCAACAUUUUCAAACAUUAAAACGGGUCCGUUUGACCUGCAGGACGAAACAAGGGUUAAAAAAUGCUCCAUGAAAUUUGAAUUUUUUUGUCUGAACUGAACCAAAAAUCAAACAAAACACAUCAAAGUUGUUGAAAUUACCUUGAAAUCUUCCCAAAAUGUCUCAAAAUAUGACAAAAAUGAGAAAACUUGUCCUACAAAAGUUAGAAUUUAAUCAAAAUGACUAAAAAUCAUCUGAUCUGAGCCAGAAACCAACCAGAACACCUCCAGUUCUUCAAAUCAAUCUGCCUUUAAUAACAGAAAGCUUCUUUCUCAGAGUGAAUCAGUGACUCGUCCUCUUUUCUUUGUUCCAGAGGAAGCAGUGAGUCUGAGACGGCGACACAAUGAGGCACAAACACACAAAAACACACAAACAUGAACAUAAAUACACACAAAUAAAUACACAAAAACACACAAACAUGAACAUAUUUACACAAAACACACAAACAUGAACAUAAAUACACACAAAAACACACAAACAUGAACAUAAAUACAUACAAAAACACACAAACAUGAACAUAAAUAUACGCAAAAACACACAAACAUGAACAUAAAUAUACGCAAAAACACACAAACAUGAACAUAAAUAUACGCAAAAACACAAACAUGAACAUAAAUAUACGCAAAAACACACAAACAUGAACAUAUUUACACAAACACACAAACAUGAACAAAAAUACACAAAAAACAUGAACAAAAAUACACACAAACAUGAACAUAAAUACACACAAAAACACACAAACAUGAACAUAAAUAUACGCAAAAACACACAAACAUGAACAUAUUUACACAAAAACACACAAACAUGAACAAAAAUACACACACAAACACAAACAUGAACAUAUUUACACUUAAACAUGAACAAAAAUACACACAAAAACACAAACAUGAACACAAAAACACACAAACAUGAACACAAAAACACUCAAACAUGAACACAAAAACACUCAAACAUGAACACAAAAACACUCAAACAUGAACACAAAAACACACAAACAUGAACACAAAAACACUCAAACAUGAACACAAAAACACUCAAACAUGAACACAAAAACACACUUAAACACGUGUAAACAUGAACACAUCUCCUCAUCUGUGAACAAACUGCAGCUCCACUCUGUUUCCUGGUUCUCGGGUUCUCAGGUUCUCAGGUUCUCAGGUUCUCAGGUUCAGGUGUUUCUCCGUCGGCUCUGAGCUGAUUUCUGACUUUAUUUCCUGCUUUCUAUUUAUUCUGACACCUGGAGGCCGUUCACAUCCACCACUUCCUGCACGGAUUAAAAUCAAAGCGAAGUUUAACCUGAAACUCAGUGAAUAUUUUCAAAAUACUUAAUUUUGGUAAUUUUUCUGAAUGCGACGUGUAGAAAUGAAAGGAUUUUAAUGGAUUAUCACAUUUUUUAGUGUAAAUUUGCUGAAAUUGACAUAAAAACUCUCCGAUUUUUUGCCACAUGAAGUUUUCACGUUGUCUUUCUCGUCAUUUUCCGCCUCUUUUCUGUGAUUUCUAUUUUUAUUUUUGUUGUUUUAUUAAUUAUUUAUCGUUUUGUAGUCUUGAAUAUUCAGCCGUCAUCCUCAGAAUCCGUCUCUGAACUUUUUUAAGGACUGAUUUUUGUGUGUUUUUAUGAUUUCCUGAUUGAUGUGAUUCAAGGAAAAUGACUCAAACCGUCACCAAUCAACCCAGAGAAAGCAGAAAUGUUUGUUUUAUUCUGUAUUUCGGAAUAUUCUACGCUUGAUUUCUGAUUUUUCUGAUUUUUUUUUGUUAAAUCAAACCUUUCUUAAUGUGUUUUCUGUCAUGAUUUAUCUAAAUUUGAUGUUUUACUGCAGCUUCACUGCACUGAAACGGUUUAAUAAUUUAUUAUUUAGACCUUCAAAUAUAAGAAUAAAUCUGCUUUUCGACGUCCACGGGUAUUUGAAAGGUUUUCAGGACAGAAUCUUUUUUUCAGACUUAAAGAAAAGCCAAUAAAGUGCGAUUCUGAUCCUGUUUGAUUCUAAAAGCAGAUUUAAACGGCUGAACAUCAAAGAUAUUUUAGUUUUAUCUCCUAAAAAUGUGACAUAAUUUGCUUAAAAAAAAGAAGAAAAAUGAAGAAAUAAAAGACUGAAAUAUAGAAGAAGCUGCGGCUGAAUGUCCUGUUUUAUUUCAAUUUGACUGGAAAAUGUUUGUUUUUAUUUCAUUUAAUUUAUUUUAAUACUAAAUCAAUAUGAUUCCAAUUUUUAUUUUCAUGUUUUAUUUUAAAUAUUAUGAUUUUAUUUUUUUAUUAUUUUCACCUGUUUUUUUAUUUAUUUAUGAUCAUUUCAUUGUUUUUUAUUUCAUUUAAUUUAUUUUUAAUACUAAAUCAAUGUGAUUCAAAUUUUUAAUUGUCAUGUUUUAUUUUAAAUGUUAAUUCAAUAUUAUUUUAAUCUUUUUUAAAUUUAUGAUCAUUUCACUUUUUUUUUCAUUCUUACUUUAAAUAUCAGAACAAACUGUUUCUGUAGCAGCUGGUUGUUGAAUAUAAUAAAUUUCUCUUUAAAUCA